CUCUUAACAGUUGUCUGAUGUCAUCAACAGCCGUCCCCAUGUCUAACUCCCUGAGUCCAACAGAAAUGAAUGUUUGUAGAAUUUUACGAUGUCAACGACUGAAGGUCAUAUCAUUGCUGAAUGAAUUUGUUGGUCAAUUGUCAUCCUACAGCAGGAGUUCGUAGAGUGAAAUCGAAGAGAAAUCCACACACACACGAACCGGCUCGCGGAGGGAAGAUGAAGAGGAAGUGCACAGCACAUUGUUGUGAAAAUGAAACAAGUCUAAAGAGAUGCAGCCGAACCUCCAUCUGUCAGUUAUCGUCAUCUUCAGGCCAUGAUCAGUUCCAUGAUACCCCACACUCCGCUAAUGUCUAAAGGAAAAGUGUGAGUCGUUUCUGAAUGCUGACAAGCUGGUGAAAAACAGCCUCCUCCUUCUCGUCCUCCUGCUGAACAUCUGUCUCUGCAGCACUGGAGCUCCUCCACUGAUGCCCACAGAUGGGACUCACAGUAGGAGCCCAUAGCCAAAUGAACCAAAAGGGCAAGCAACAAACAUUAUAUGCUUAAAAACUGUAGAAGUAAACAUGUUAGAAU
rnacentral:lncRNA from 1 species